GUCAGAGCACCCGAUUCGAACGUUAUCACUCGAUUGAAUGGGGCGUUAUCAGCGGUUAUCAGCCCAUAGAAAUGGGCCAGGAGGGGCCUCCUGUGCCUACUAGUAGGCGCAGAAGGCCGUGAUCAUCCAUCCAAAUGGUUGAUCACCCACAAAUAUACAAGAGAAGACUCCAGAUUCAAUCCCAGAAUUCCUGCUCACCGGUAAUCGGAAGUCUACUGGACGAAAGCGGCAACGUUGCGAUAUUUCCUGCUUAAUAUUUUCAGGCACAAUGAAUGAUAUUAAGGGCAGGUGCGCCACAUUGGGGGAAGAUGCAAAGCAGAAAUACAUUCAAGAGGCAGCAGCACUGAGGGCACAUGGGCAGGCACAGGACCUAAACCCUGAGAUGGAGGCAAUUUGUGCUGUGUCUGCCGCGUCCAUUUUUAUGAUAAGAAGAAGAAUGCAAGAAAGAAGUGGCGUUCAUGGUCUCAGUGCACAGUGUGCCAAUCAUGGUCACACACAGCAUGUGGCUUUAAAAGAACAUGUGCGUUCACUGCCAGUGUCAAGACACCAUGCUAACACCCUGAAGAUGUAUCUUGUUACUUGUUUGAGUUGUUUUUACUGUGUUGACGGCCCCCAACCCAUCCAUACAAACACACACACACACACACACAAUACAUACAUAUGCUGCAAAUUCAUUGUAAUGACCACACUUCACACGUAAGAAGAAAAUUGUGAUCUUUUUGUUAUUUUCAUUCACCCCAUUUUUAUUUAUUAUUGUUGUUUGUUGGCACCAUCAAUGUGUUCUCCUUUAUACAGGACUUAUGUGGGGACCAAUAAAGUUAUAUUGUACUGAA